CUGGAAAGACCUCCAUGAACUGAUUCAGAGUGAAUCCACCCAAACUACCAGUGAAGUGGGACCUUCCCUCAGGAGGAAAACUCUCCCGUGACAAGCCUGGAGACCUGGCCCCGCCCUAGAAUGGGAACCCCCUCUCCCACCGUUCCAACUUCGCUCGGUUCCACAAGAACUUCUUAAGUGCCUCCUUACGUGGGCGGCCGACAAGCAUUUACUGAGGCAGCUGGGUGACCCAAGUGGAUAGAGAGCCAGCCUUGGAUAUUUGUAUCAAUUUAAGACAAAAGAAAGAAUUAAGAUCUUGUUUGGAAGAACCUCAAGAAUCUUCAAGUGCAGCCAAGAAAUAGUUCUAAUUGAAGACCAAGCUACCUUUCCUUGUUUUAUAUUCACAUUAAUGCCACCUCAAACUGUCCUGGGGUAGAAAGAUGUCAGCUGACAUGGGAGGGUUUUGCCUCUAUGCCUUCUCUAAAGCAGAAAGGCUUGGACAUAGAAUGUUCAACUAAUACGUUUUUAGUGCAUUAAUUUAAAAUCAAGCAUUUUUGGCAGACCUUCACCUGAAGAGUACAAUAUUUAUAUUUCUCAGCUAACUUGCAUGUUGUAACUGACAAGGGAAUUGACUUUAGCCUCUCCUUUUACAAAGGCUUACCUGGUAGGCAUGAGGUGGUUGUAGUUAUAAACCUUCACAAAUGACUUGAUUUUUGAUCUCUUGGCAAUCUUUUUUUUGCCCAUUGCUGCAGUCACUUUUCGAGGGUAUCGGUCAAUACCUGCCACCAGGGCAUGGCUGUAAGGCCUGUCAGAGGUCCCAUCAUCAAUGUUCUGAGAGAAACAAGAAAACAUGCUACUACCAGAACUUGCUUUACACAUAGGUUUCGGUGAUCAGACUCCCUUCAAGGCUAGCAUCAGUGUCUGCUAAAAUAAUAAGGGUUGCAAGACCCCAGCAGGAAGAAUGCUUAAGUUUCCUAUCCACUGACUGCUGAGAUUUUGGCCCAAAACUCAACAACCCUUCGGAACAGCUUCACCUAGCACCCAGUUCUCUUUCUAAAAGAACACAUUUUGUGGUCAAGGAAAAUGAAGAUCCAUGUUAAGACUAUA